AUUGAACGCUGGCGGCAUGCUUUACACAUGCAAGUCGAACGGCAGCGGGGGCUUCGGCCUGCCGGCGAGUGGCGAACGGGUGAGUAAUGCAUCGGAACGUGCCCAUGUCGUGGGGGAUAACGUAGCGAAAGCUACGCUAAUACCGCAUACGCCCUGAGGGGGAAAGCGGGGGAUUCUUCGGAACCUCGCGCGAUUGGAGCGGCCGAUGUCGGAUUAGCUAGUAGGUGAGGUAAAGGCUCACCUAGGCGACGAUCCGUAGCGGGUCUGAGAGGAUGAUCCGCCACACUGGGACUGAGACACGGCCCAGACUCCUACGGGAGGCAGCAGUGGGGAAUUUUGGACAAUGGGCGCAAGCCUGAUCCAGCCAUGCCGCGUGAGUGAAGAAGGCCUCGGUUGUAAGACGUACUUUCGUCCGGGUACGGAAAGUACGUAGUUCGUCUAAC
rnacentral:rRNA from 1 species